GAGACACACCAUCAAUCAAUUUAGUGAGUGUGUAGGGUUCAUUUACUAUAAUACUCUAUAUAUCAUAGUCAAGUGCUUGAAUAAAAAUUUUCAUCCGAGCUUUUCAAUAGGUGUAGUUUGACCCAUUGAAAAGUAGAGGUCAGUUUGUGGAUUGCCCCUCGGCUAGAGAUGUGCCAAAUUGGGCUGCAUUGAUCUUUGGCUCUUGAUGGUUAAAUC
rnacentral:lncRNA from 1 species